rnacentral:rRNA from 1 species
AACGAACGCUGGCGGCGUGGAUAAGACAUGCAAGUCGAACGCUCGUUCCGGGGUAGCAAUAUUCCGGAGCGGGAGUGGCGCAAGGGUGCGUAACACGUGGGUCAUUUGCCGUGAAGCUGGGAACAACUCGUUGAAAGACGAGCUAAUACCCAAUGUGCUCCGCAAGGAGUAAAGCCGGGGGACCGCAAGGCCUGGCACUUUACGAUAAGCCCGCGGCCUAUCAGCUAGUUGGCGGGGUAAAAGCCCACCAAGGCUAAGACGGGUAGCUGGUCUGAGAGGACGACCAGCCACACUGGAACUGAGACACGGUCCAGACACCUACGGGUGGCAGCAGUCGAGAAUUUUUCACAAUGGGCGCAAGCCUGAUGGAGCGACGCCGCGUGGGGGAUGAAGGGCUUCGGCUCGUAAACCCCUGUCAUUCGCGAACAAUGGCGCCGGCCUAACAUGCCGUCGUCUGAUAGUAGCGGAAGAGGAAGGGACGGCUAACGUCUAGUGCCAGCAGCCGCGGU